UACGUAGGGGGCAAGCGUUGUCCGGAAUCAUUGGGCGUAAAGAGCGUGUAGGCGGCUAUUUAAGUCCUGCGUGAAAUCCUGCGGCUCAACCGCAGACGGUCGUGGGAAACUGGAUGGCUAGAGUGCGGGAGAGGAGAGUGGAAUUCCCGGUGUAGCGGUGAAAUGCGCAGAUAUCGGGAAGAACACCCGUGGCGAAGGCGGCUCGCUGGACCACUACUGACGCUGAGGAACGAAAGCUAGGGGAGCAAACAGG
rnacentral:rRNA from 1 species